CCUCUCUGCUGUGUUUCAGUCAUAAACGCUUCAUCAGAGUACUUCUUAAAUAUGAUGAAGUAAAAAACACAACAAAAUCACAAAAAACAGCAAACAUGCAUGCAAGCUUUGACUCCACAGUCCACAGCCUUGUUUUGAAGUUUGAGAGCGUGAUCCCGGCAAUACAAGCAAGCCUGGAGGUGGUUAGGACAUGAAAGUGAGUUAACUCCACUUACCGUCAUGCAUUGCGCAACUACGUUUGGUGAAAGCAGCAUGUGCUGAGGCGCUCCGCACAAACUAUGGCUCAGUGAAGCUGCGGCUCUUGACGAGAGCGCGUCGUGUCAGCAGAGACUCUGGCUGCAGCUGCCGCAGAGACCAUCGUUGCGCUGGACCCUAAGGAGGAAUCAGCAUCUUCGGAAAUAAUCGUUCUGAUUGCUUUGCUGGAUUUGCCUGGGCGUAAAUCGUUUAAUGCUGGGGCUCUUUGGACGCAUUAACGGGAUUAAUCGCGACAUUGACAAACGUGGAGAAGUUAUUAUUACUAUUGUUUUGUGUUUUUGUUUAAACGUGAUCACGAUGAUAGCAGCUGAUGGAUUGAAAACUCCAGCUAUGGAUCUUUUCGCGUGUUAUAAGGAAAUGCUGACUUCAGUCUGGGAUGAGUUUCUACUCCUGCCACAGAUUCAGCUGCUGGACAAGUCUCUUGGGAUAUUUGGGAUACACGCGUGGUCAAGUGCUGACAUUUUCAUAGAUGGUUAAUGUUAUAUGCUGAUUUCGAAAAUGAAAUCUGUAUUUGGUGGAUUUUUUAUUUUUUUUUUGCACAGUUGGAUAUCUUGGAUUAUGUUUUGGAAGCUGUGCUCCAGUGGAUGUCCAGUGAUUUGGAUAAUAUGUGCGCAUCUCCUGAUUCCGCAGUGAAGGAAUCCAAAUUCUCGAGAUAAGAGUUCAACCUUUAAUUGCAUCCUAGCGAUCUUCUGAUGAUCUCAGGUGAGCACCAAGAAGGGGCUGAGUAAUGGAAACAUGACCUCAAGAGAUUCAACAGGAUCAUACUAAAUCCCGGUUUGGACUGUUGGACCAGCAUCCUCUGAAGCAGAUGUUUGCUCCUGGCACGGCUGCCGACAACAUGAGCUCCAACACUGGCAAUCUAGCUCUCAGGAUUCAGUGAGCAGCGUGAGCUUGGAGAAGCUGUGACAUAAACGCAGCAGGAUGGUGAAUCGCGUUUUGCUGCUCAGACAUCAUGGAACAGAUCAGUCAGCCCCAUCUGGAGAAGUGCUCUAUAGAAGACUCAUAUAUUUACCAUGGUUACUUUGAUGGAUACAGCAUGUUGUUUAACUUUAUUUUUCUAAUUGAUUUUAAUAGAAAUGAUAAUUUCCUGCCAUCUAUGUAUCUUCUCUUGUUUUGCAGAUUUUAAUUACAGUGUCACUCAUUCAGUAACUUCAGCAUUUACUGUUAUUUUUGUCAUUUUUGGUAAUGUGACUGUUUUCAAAGUGGCUCUUAAAAAACUGCAUAAGAAAGUUUAUCCAGGGAGGAGCACAAAAAAUGUCUCCUACUGUGUAAAAAGACUUAAUGCACAUGUGAUUGAGAUUAAUCAGAUGAAUCACUCAGUCAGUGGAUAUGUGAUUUUCAUCUUCUUACUGCAGCGACAAAGAAGCCAUUGUCAUUAAUGUAAAACCAUGAAUUCUCCUUCUGACGCUGCAUUUUAUUGUGACACAUUGGCAGCUUCUGCUAAUUUCAGUUAAUAAUCCUGUCAAGCAGUUUAUUCUCAUUAUGAUUUAUGACUCCAUAGCUUUUGUUGUUUUUGUUAAGCCCUGUUAGCAGAAAUUAAA